UACCGCCUGCGGUGUUGGCUUGCUUCCGCCAAUCCCUUAGAACCUAUAUUUCAGACAGGGGAUUGUCUUGCAGGCACCGUUGUGCAGGUCCCGGGCCACGCCCGGGAAAGCCUUAAGGUGUUGCAGCAGUCCCCACUUGAGCCAUUCGGUUCAAGGUACCCCGGGAGCAUGCGGCACCCGCGGGUGGUGC
rnacentral:other from 2 species